GGUAGGGGAGACGACGGGUUUUUAUUUCGCCCGACGGAUAUUGUGGGGUGGCUGGCUGGCUUUUUUCCCUCUUCUUCUUCUUCUCAUNCUCAUCUUUUUCCUGCUUUCCCACGUAUGUUGGGAGAGUGGAGGAGGAAGUGUGUGUGUUUAGAGGAAGAAGGUGCAGGGGAAGGAAUAUGGUGAGAGGUUGAGCGUGUACGUAGGUGUGUAGGACAUUGGUCCCACAUACGAAGAAGU
rnacentral:rRNA from 1 species